GAUGAACGCUGGCGGCGUGCCUAAUACAUGCAAGUCGAGCGAACAGACGAGGAGCUUGCUCCUCUGACGUUAGCGGCUGACGGGUGAGUAACACGUGGAUAACCUACCUAUAAGACUGGGAUAACUUCGGGAAACCGGAGCUAAUACCGGAUAAUAUAUUGAACCGCAUGGUUCAAUAGUGAAAGACGGUUUUGCUGUCACUUAUAGAUGGAUCCGCGCCGCAUUAGCUAGUUGGUAAGGUAACGGCUUACCAAGGCGACGAUGCGUAGCCGACCUGAGAGGGUGAUCGGCCACUCUGGAACUGAGACACGGUCCAGACUCCUACGGGAGGCAGCAGUAGGGAAUCUUCCGCAAUGGGCGAAAGCCUGACGGAGCAACGCCGCGUGAGUGAUGAAGGUCUUCGGAUCGUAUAACUCUGUUAUUAGGGAAGAACAAAUGUGUAAGUAACUAUGCACGUCUUGACGGUACCUAAUCAGAAAGCCACGGCUAACUACGUG
rnacentral:rRNA from 1 species